GAGAGACGGCAUUUAUGCAGCCUGGUUUUUACGGCAAAAGUCUCUAAAAAUGGAGACUAUUGAAACUGUAGAAGAACACACUGCAAUGCAUGAAGAUGGGCAAAUGAUGUUCGAAGAAAACAUAGAGAUGGCAACAAACUACGAUGGACAGGAAGGGAAUACUGAGGCAUCGGGUGUACAAACAUGCUAAGAGGAGAGUGAUUACUUUAGCCCGGAGUGUGAAUAAUAAUAUAACUAUUUGUGUGCCCGACAAUGUAAUAUAUAUCAUGUGCUAUUUCCCUGGAUAUUGUGUGCCUUUGACGUUAACGCCCUGAACAUAACGUGAAGAAUAAUAUUAGAACUUUUGUGCCUA